AAAAAAAAAAGAGAGAGAGAGAGAGAGAAAGAUAGGUAGCUCCCUGCCUGCCUGCCUGCCUCCUCCCCUCCCCCGAGCCGGGCAGCUCCGAUCCUGCAGAAACGCCUGAAACUGUUUCAGACCAAGACAUGGAAGAAGAAUGUACAACGUGCGAUCCUGAACACGCCAAUCUCCCCAGCGAGGAGAUUAUUACUCUCUCUCUCUCCCCAGCGGGGGAUUAGCUCUCGCAGCAAGGUACGCACUGACGUCACCCCCAGCAAUCUGCCCCCGACCUCAACAGCACCAGCAGAGCAGCACCAACCGCCAGCAGGCUAGAGGACAGCUGGCCUUGUAGAGCCCUGACUCAGGCAGGAAACAAACUCAGAAGCACUAGAUGGGAGUCACGCAGAAAUCUGUGCACGACAAAUGUGACCAGUCCCCUGCUAGCAACAGCCAAAUCGGUAAUGGCACCCACAUAAUUAAUCCACUGCUUUGAAUUUUCUGCUCCUCCAUGAAGUAUCCAUUAGCACAGUCCCGUGUUUGGCCUAGUAUUUGAAGCAGUGCAAGUCUCUCCAGCACUGGAUUUCACAGGUAUUACUGACAGAAGAGCGACAGCAACCCUUGAGGUUUCUUCCAAGCUCCAGGAGAGGGCUUUUUUUUUUUUUCUUUUUUUUAAUAGCACACUCCCAUCUGUUUGUUCCCUGUGUUCCUGUUUUUCCUUAUCUUCGUUUGUUAUUCCUAACCUGCACUCAUUCUCUCCUCACUCUUGGCUCUUCAUCCCAGUUUUGUUUUUCUUAUCUAGUUAAUGGUAGUGUCUGAUUCUCAUCACUGUUCCAGCUGUCCUAGCUGUACUUUUCUUUAAUCUUAUUCUGGGGCUCCUCACUCUCAGAUUCACAUUUAGCUGUGCAAUUUUUGUUUGUUUUCACUCCCAUUGUCUAGUUGCUCCUUUUCUUAGGCUUUUUCACAUGAUUUAACUUCCACUUAUGUCAACACUCAUCUUCCUUUUAUAUUCUGUGCUCUGGGUGUGUACCAAAAAGUUGGUCUUGCUCUUUGACUCUAUAACCCAAUUACAGACUUAGCCUUGUGCUUGGCCAAGGGUAUAGCCUUACAUCUCUGUUCAAGCAGUUUUGGUUGCCUGAAACCUUCCUUCUUUCUUUUUAGUCUUAACAUCUCAGGCCCACUGCCUUAUGCAAACAAUUUCCUUGUCCCAAAAUACACCCACCAUUCCCACUGCUGAUUUCUCCUAAUCGCUUCCCAGUGAAAAAAGGUUUAGAAAGAAAGAAGUGUGAUAUCAGCUUUACCAUGCUGCAAGAUCAGUACUUGCCUACUCAAAUCAGACAGCCUGCCCCUCUUCAUCCCAUAGCUACAUCAUGGAGCAUUGAGCAUGUGAAAGCAUCUCAUCUUCUCAGUUCCAGAUCCAAGCAAGGCACAGCUCAAAACGAUCACGUAAAAUGUCAUUGCAGAUGAGAUACCCACAUAAGAUAGUUGCUGAAGCUGCAUUUAAGGCUGACUGUGGUGGCAUAUAAGUCUGUAGUCUUAAAAACAAAAAAGAUACAUCCCUUGACCUAGGGGCUGACAUUUUCCUCUUUUCUGUCUGCUCAGGAUUUAAGUACAUUUCCUACAGGCUGAGCGUACUGAAGACCUUCCAAAAAUACUGCUACAACUUUUAAUUAGGAGCAAACCCAUAUAUUCCAUUUUCAAAUGGAGCUCCAUUUUCAAAUACCUGGGUAAUUUAAGAUAAUAUUUAAAAGAAAUGUUAAAGAACAAGAAAUCAAAACUACAAAUCAGCCUACCCACAUGGAUACCCACAUGGAAAAUAUUAUACCCAAUCUUCACAAUUAAACAAAGUUAUGUAAACAACUUAAACAGUAUCUAUUUACAGACAGCAUCAGCAAACUUGAAUAAUAAUUACCCUACCACAUUCUGCUUAUAGCUGUGUGUUAUGCCAUCUCCAUUUUUAAUACUUUAAGAACUGCAAAAGAAGAGCAUAUAAAACUACAUUGAGAACACAUGCUGAUGUUAAAACAAGUGAUCAAGCAACAACAACAAAACCAGUGGUGCAAUACUUAAAUUAGAAACUGUUCUGUGUUUGCUCAGCAUCCCUGAUCCCCAUCAGGCAAUAAAUCAAUUUGCAGUAGCUGUGGACAGCUAUUUAAACAUAGGGCCAGAAGAGCUUAAUUGUUAAAGCAAUGUUCAAAGUUAGAAGGCUCAGUAUAGGAGGUCAUAUUAAAUACUCGCUUCUCUGAAACCAGCUGCAUUCCAAGUAUGAGGAGGCAUCCUGCCCUCCUCUUAAUUAAAAAACACAGCCUAUGAGCCCUGAGCUUAGCAGAGCUUAGCUUGCAAUUCUUCAGAAUGCAGACAGAGACUGUCAGAUGAAGAACUGACAUCUAAAUGCCUGCCAACUUGAUUUUGUCUGGUUUACUUUAUUAUCUAGCAAGCAAUACAGUUAAGGAACUGUUUUGAAAUUUUAGUUUAAUUUUACAAAUUGGCAAAGCACUCAAUUCGAUUCUCAGCUUUGCUCCUUGUCAAAGUCUACAGCAAACUUACUUUUUACUUGCAUAUGAGCUGAACAGGAUUACUUAUCAGUGAUCUUCCUAAACAGUGAUUGCUGGUGAACAGUUUCUUUGGGAAUGAUGAUACAAGUACAAAAAAUACAAAAAUAAUAUUACUACUCCUGUUCUAUCAUAAACCUUACUGUGAUUCUUUUGAAAUAUUUUGCAGUUUCCAAUUUUAUCGCUGAACAUUUUGAGCAUUGUAAUGUUUUAAGUUAUAAUUCUACUUCAGGUACUAGUAAGCACUUCCUUAAUUUAAAAUACAUUAUUACUGAGACUUAUGAAUGUGAAAACAGCCUUUUGAUUAAAGUUGAACUGAACAAUCAUUGUACCGUUAUUUAAUUGUUUUACAUAUGCAUUUUAUGUCACAUUCAAAUAAUUUAUCCAGAGUAUAAAAAAAAUUACAAAGUAGUCACUGAAAUCUUAACAACAACAACAAGGAAAGCCAGCUUCAGAUUUGGUCCAAUUUAUGUCUGUAAAUUUUUAAAAUAUGUUUAAUGCAGCUUGUAUUUGUCAUCAAGCAGAAAGACCCAAAUAUUUUCAGUACCAGUGAAACUGAAAGCUAGUUUUUUUGAUAGAUAGUCCAGAUUCCCAGUCUUUUCCAAUAAAAGACACCUCUGAAACCCUCACAUACAAAGUAGCAGUAAUACAAGUGAUGAUUUUGACAUUACUUAGAUUUUUAUUAUAAUUAUUAUUUAAACACAACUUCAGGUGGCACUCUAGCAGUGGAAAAUUGUGGUCAACUGAUUGGAUGAAAAAGCACUAUGUUCACUUUUUUCUAGAAUAACCAUAACAAGAAGAAUUAAAUUCUGUCCACCCUGCAACUAUGAACAACUGCUGUUGCUAGACUGUGAAGUGGCUUUUGUUGUUCCCAGACUGACUAGGUGCAUCGGGUUAAUCUUACCCUCCAGUAUUCAGCAUACUGUCACAUUGCUGGGAGUCACUGGAUGAUUUUUGACAGAAGAAAGCCUCUGAUGAGCCUGAUCUUGAGUGACUGCCGGGCAUUUUGAUCUUCCAUUGAUUCCUAGAAGAUGAAGCUCAACACUUACAGAACAGGGUUCAUUGUUUUGAGCAAUACACUGCUCAAAUUAAAACCUCUGUUUUAGUUUACGUUGCAAUUUAUCAUGUAUGAUAAUGUCCUUCAAACUUCCUGCAGAAAACACAUAACAAUAAGACAGAAGAUGAGGAAUAAAAGCAAAUCUAGAAACCAUGGGUUAAUUAGGUUUUCUACGUAGACACAAUGUAUUCUUCUCAUUUGGGAUCACCAAAAGCAAAUAAGACGUACCACCAACUCCCAAAAGGAAGAAUGGCAAUUGUCUUACAGAAAAGAUCAAGAAACCACAAUACAAACAUUAUCAAUGACAGCAAUGUUGUCCUAUAGUUACCAGCUUUGUUUUACUUGCAAUAACAUUUACAUAACUUCUCAACAUGGCAGAGAACUUUUACCCCUUUCAACAGCAUUUCAUUAACAAAGGUGUUAUUGAAUUUUACAGUGCAGCAGUCCAGAAAAAAACGCAUAUACCUUAGGUAGCUUAGACAGUAUCUUUUUUUAAUCUUCUGUAGUAAGAGAUCAUGAAGAAAACUAAUUUCCUUGCAUUCAUAUUACCUGUUUCUCUCCAAAAUUAUUUGUAUUGUGCUUAUUAUCAAUUGCCCUUUGCUACAAUAGACCAUUUUCCUACACUAUGCAGCAUAACCUUUUUAAAAAGACAGCACUGAUGCACCAUGAAGCAAUAAUUAAUAUCCUUUGUCUGAAGCAUUCAGAGAUUAUAUUUUAUUUUCAAGAUUGAUGCUCUUUCACUCACUGAGGUGAUAGUUUUGUGCAACCCCCAACCAAUAAUGCAUAUUUUACAGUAAUUACACAUAUAUACAGAAUAUAAAUAUGCAUUAACUCAGCUUGCAGCCAUUUCAGUAGAAUUUUCCUUCAGAACAGUUACAGACUUAGGUCCAUACAACUCAUUUUACCCCCUCCUCAAAGCUACACAAACUGUAAUACUCGAGAUGUCACAAAACUGACUGUAGACAACUAUUGUCAACUGUGUGCAUGCAUACAUGCAAUAUAAAGUACCCAGCACAAAGUCUGAGAACAAAACACUUCCAAAAUUAAAACAGAACAUGGAACCACCAUUUACAUAAAUGUUUCAUUCUUCCAAGAAGCCAAACUGAAAACAUGUAUUCACAGAGUAAAGUUAAGGGUGAGAGAGGUCCCAGGCAUCUUUUAUAUCACCACAGUUCUAUGUUGCACAUGAUACAGUGUCUAGUCUCACCGCAAAAGCAGUGCAUAUUUUUGCUUUAUGCAUGUGCUACCAAUCUGAAGAGUCAGAUUUACUAUACAUGCUAGGCAUCUAGGUUUGGGUUUCCUAUGUGCUGGCAGAGGUGCCCUUUUCAGAAUAGGAAUUGAAGCCUUUACUGUAUGAAUAUGGACUUAAAAAAAGCAUCAUAUAUCUGCACUCCUCAGAAUCUCCAAGCAUGGAGCAAAAGAACCAAGGUGUAUGGUUGUGCUCAUGACUACACAGAGCUGU